rnacentral:lncRNA from 1 species
ACGCGGCCAGUCGUAAAAGCAGAAGUAUUUAGGAAAAUGGAGGACGAUGCAGAGGGAGAGGGAA